GUUCAGCAGUUCCCAUACAAAAGUAGAAUUACAUUUCUUCCACUGUCAUUUGUUUCUUGUUUAUCUUCAAAAUUCAAGUGCGUGAUAUUCUAGUUUGUCAGCUCCAAGAGGCAAGAGGCAAUGAGCUGAAGAGGGGAAUAAGCAUGAUCUGACUGGGAUACAGACUUAGAAACAGUCAGAGCAAAUACAUCAAUAGAGAAAAGAAGCCACAUAGAACUGGAAAUACAGGAAGAAGCAAGAAGUGCUUGUAUUGGAAAUGAUCCACGUGGACACAGAGUCUAACAAUUUCUUUUUACUACCUAAUGUGAGGGGGCUACAGUUAUUCCCAAAUGUCACAUGUU